rnacentral:hammerhead_ribozyme from 1 species
GCACUUCUGAGGAGUUCACAAUAAGACGAAACGGUCGUCCAGUAC